GAUGAACGCUGGCGGCGUGCUUAACACAUGCAAGUCGAGCGAGAAGUUUUGAAAAGAUUCUUCGGAUGAAAUUUAAAAUGGAAAGCGGCGGACGGGUGAGUAACGCGUAGGCAACCUGCCCCAUACAAAGGGAUAGCAUUUGGAAACGAAUAUUAAUACCUCAUGAAACUUAACUAGUGCAUGCUAGGUAGGUCAAAGAUUUAUCGGUAUGGGAUGGGCCUGCGUCUGAUUAGCUAGUUGGUGAGGUAACGGCUCACCAAGGCGACGAUCAGUAGCCGACCUGAGAGGGUGAACGGCCACAUUGGAACUGAGACACGGUCCAAACUCCUACGGGAGGCAGCAGUGGGGAAUAUUGCACAAUGGGGGAAACCCUGAUGCAGCAACGCCGCGUGAACGAUGAAGGCCUUUGGGUCGUAAAGUUCUGUUCUAGGUGAUGAAAACUGACAGUAACCUAGGAGAAAGCCCCGGCUAACUCCGUG
rnacentral:rRNA from 1 species